rnacentral:rRNA from 1 species
AUUGAACGCUGGCGGCAGGCCUAAAACAUGCAAGUCGAACGCCCUAGCAAUAGGGAGUGGCGCACGGGUGAGUAACAUGUGGGAAUAUGCCUUUUGGUACGGAACAACGUUUGGAAACGAACGCUAAUACCGUAUGGUCCCUCCGGGGUAAAGAUUUAUCGCCAAAAGAUUAGCCCGCACUAGAUUAGCUAGUUGGUAAGGUAAUGGCUUACCAAGGCGACGAUCUAUAGCUGUUCUGAGAGGAAGAUCAGCCACACUGGGACUGAGACACGGCCCAGACUCCUACGGGAGGCAGCAGUUAGGAAUAUUGGACAAUGGGCGCAAGCCUGAUCCAGCCAUGCCGCGUGAGUGAUGAAGGCCUUCGGGUUGUAAAGCUCUUUAGCCGACGAAUAUAAUGACUGUAGUCGGAGAAUAAGCCCCGGCUAACUUCGUGCCAGCAGCCGCGGUAAAAC